rnacentral:rRNA from 1 species
UACGUAGGGUGCAAGCGUUAAUCGGAAUUACUGGGCGUAAAGCGUGCGCAGGCGGUUAUGUAAGACAGUUGUGAAAUCCCCGGGCUCAACCUGGGAACUGCGUCUGAUACUGGGAGGCUUGAGUAUGGGAGAGGGAUGUAGAAUUCCAGGUGUAGCGGUGAAAUGCGUAGAUAUCUGGAGGAAUACCGGUGGCGAAGGCGGCAUCCUGGACCAUAACUGACGCUGAGGCGCGAAAGCUAGGGGAGCAAACGGG